AACGAACGCUGGCGGCAUGCCUAACACAUGCAAGUCGAACGAGAUCUUCGGGUCUAGUGGCGCACGGGUGCGUAACGCGUGGGAAUCUGCCCUUUGGUUCGGAAUAACAGUUGGAAACGACUGCUAAUACCGGAUGAUGACGAAAGUCCAAAGAUUUAUCGCCAGAGGAUGAGCCCGCGUAGGAUUAGCUAGUUGGUGUGGUAAAGGCGCACCAAGGCGACGAUCCUUAGCUGGUCUGAGAGGAUGAUCAGCCACACUGGGACUGAGACACGGCCCAGACUCCUACGGGAGGCAGCAGUGGGGAAUAUUGGGCAAUGGGCGAAAGCCUGAUCCAGCAAUGCCGCGUGAGUGAUGAAGGCCUUAGGGUUGUAAAGCUCUUUUACCGGGGAUGAUAAUGACAGUACCGGGAGAAUAAGCUCCGGCUAACUCCGUGCCAGCCGCCGCGGUAA
rnacentral:rRNA from 1 species